rnacentral:piRNA from 1 species
UGUUGGGCUUUGCCUUUCUUUGUUGCCUCA